GCUUACGGCCAUACCAGCCUGGCUAUGCCCGAUCUCGUCUGAUCUCGGAAGCUAAGCCGGUUUGGGCCUGGUUAGUACUUGGAUGGGAGACCGCCUGGGAAUACCAUUUUGGAAAUU
rnacentral:rRNA from 1 species